CCAUCAACCAAGAGGAUGUGCGGUGCUUAUGGACUUUGUGUUUUCCUCAUUGUAUUUGUAGGAACUUCAAACUGCAUAAUAGUUCAACAGAUCUCAUCACUCCUCGCCAAUGAAACAAAGAGCAUAACGAUCACAUGCAGCCAUGAUGACAGUAGCAAAACUGUUAUGUUAUGGUAUCAGCAAAAGACUGACACUACAGCUAUGGCUCUGAUCGGCUACACCGCUACACGCAUGAGUGAUCCGGUCUAUGAAGAUGGAUUUACUAAAGAGCGAAUUAAAUUAAACAGACAAGGAGACACAGAAGGAGAUCUGACCAUCUCUAGACUCCUCCAGUCUGAUUCUGCUGUUUAUUACUGUGCUGCUAAAGAGCACAGUGCUGCAUGUUCAUACGACUACUGUACUAAAACCCCAAACACCAAACACACAGGAAACAGUACAAACUGUUGCUUUAUGCUGAAUUUCUGGUUUGUUAUCUGACAAUAAAGACCUUUCUAUUCAUUUAUGAGUUCAAUUAUAAAACAGGCUGCAGUGCAGUGCAGAAUAUCUAUUAGCACCCUACUAUAUCCUUCCCUCUUUAAAGAGGGAAAAUAUAAAUAGCUAAAGAAGAAAUCCAAUGUGUGUCAAAUGACGAUUCAAAAUGAAACUAUGGAAAUGUAAUAAUUUGGAAUUCAGUUUCUUUUAUGCACCCCUUUCCUCGUUUCUAACCUGGACACAGAUGCCUGCUUUUGGUCUGCAAAAUAAAAUGUGGUGCUUCCUCCUCUGAUCUAAAUAACUUUAAGCAUUUGUGCAUUAUUCAGUCACCCACAAAUAAGCAUGCCGUAAUGCAUAUUUUGUUCUUCCACCUGUUUCCAUAUCAGUUUUAGCACAUCAUUGUCUGCUUAGUCCUGUUUUAUAGCUUUAUAAACUUGUAUAAAGUUAAAGUGUUGCAGUGGAAAUUCAGCACUGGAACUUGCCUAGAAAUAGCUUAAAAAAAAAACCCAAAAAACAUCAGAGCUGUCAAUAAUCCAUCAACUGUAAAAAAAUAUAUAAAAUAAUAGUAAUAAAAAUAAAUAAAUAAAUAAAGUUAGCUAUUGUGCUAAAUUUUCAGUUAAUUGGGCUUCAAAUGUUAAGUUAACAGAAAGAGAACAUGUGUUUUAUCAGCUGUUUUGUCAGCUGAAGUUUAAAUAAUUCAUCACUGUGAGGAAGCCUUAUUUAUUAUUUAUUAUUAUUUAUUCAUUUGCUUAUUUAAUUAUUUAAACAUGGAAAAUAUUUCAACCUAUUAAAUAUUUCAAGACCAUAAUAUUUAAUUUUCUGUGUUCAAAAUGGGUUUAAGAUAGUAAACUACUAGAUCUGUAAAACAUGACUGUUGAUACAACUUAAUUACAUUACUGACUAGCUAAAGGCUUGAUGAUGAUGCACAUUCUUAAACCUUAAAGAUUUAAUACAGACACAGCAAAUUAUCACAAAAUGUGUGUAUGUUCAAACUUUUCAUAAACAUAGUUUGUAUUACAAAGUUUGCACGGGUUCUGCAUUCUUUUGGUUUUCUUUUGAUUUUCUUUUGAAAUCAUAGGUUACAUUGUUAAGCUUUGCCAUUAUGUUUGUUGCUUUGUAACUUAUUAUUGACUCUCUUAUUAUGAGUUUCUCAAAAAUUACUUGGCUUUUAACUUUUAUUUAUGUUACAUUCCCUUUUAGUUUUCGCCAUACACCAUUUCUGGUGAAGUGUUUGCUGGUGAAUUCUGGUGGUGAAGUGAUCGUGCUCCUCCCUCAAACCAUCCUCAGACAUUACAGCAGAGCAAAACUGGAGAAUAUUACACCCAGUUUGAGUCACUUAAGUUCUCUGCUGACUUUCUGUGACUCUGUCUUGAACUGUGCAUCAGCAAGAUGUAUGUUACGUCUAGACUGUGUUUGUUUUUCAUUUUGUUUUUAG
ensembl:lncRNA